rnacentral:rRNA from 1 species
UACGUAGGUCCCGAGCGUUGUACGGAUUUAUUGGGCGUAAAGCGAGCGCAGGUGGUUUAUUAAGUCUGGUGUAAAAGGCAGUGGCUCAACCAUUGUAUGCAUUGGAAACUGGUAGACUUGAGUGCAGGAGAGGAGGGUGGAAUUCCAUGUGUAGCGGUGAAAUGCGUAGAUAUAUGGAGGAACACCGGUGGCGAAAGCGGCUCUCUGGCCUGUAACUGACACUGAGGCUCGAAAGCGUGGGGAGCAAACAGG